CUUGGCGUGGGAGUGAGUGGGGCUGGCUCACAGCUGAGGGCAUGGAGCAAAUGUGACUGGAAGCAGGGUUGCGCGCCGUGGGAGGGCAGGGCAGGGAGCAAGGGGACGUCGGAAAUGCCCCCUCCGGGUCCAGCCAUCCAAAGAGACGGAUCAGCAACAGAGAACCUGUAAGACUGAGCAAGCAAGUUUGGGAGGCAGACUGGAAAGAUUGCCAGCAUCUGGGGAGACUUAAGUAAUGGGAGCUUUUCAGAGGAUGUCCAGGGCAAAGGAUGUUGGUGGGGCAGAGCUGCAGAGGGUGCCAAGCACAUUCCUGCCAUCCGUGAGACAGAGCUAACAAAUGUCUCUCUUCCACAGAUCUUGCGAAGACCAAAGCAGUCCAGCAGCUCAGAAGAAAUCAUUGAAGAAAGUUGCAGGUACAAGCCCUUAGAAGCAAAGCACCCAGAAGCUGGGGGAUGGAUGCUCAGGACUGCUUCAGCCCCUCCCAAUCACGGAGUGGAUUUCAGCCUUCUCCACAGAGUGCCUCUACCCAUCCACUCUUCUGACCUGCCCACCACUCUCCUCCUCGCCUCCCAAGGACACUAAGGUUCAAAAGAAGUCAGCAAAUUGCCCACUAUUAUACAGCUGAAGGUGGCAGGACGAGGGCUUGAUCCCAAUACGAAAUCACAAAAAUUUCAUUAGUGGAAAAAUCACUUCAGAUAUGCCUUGAGUCUUCUUUCAUUUUCCUGGAAGUGAAUCCAGAAUGGAGCUAUAAAAUCACUUUUGAAUACAGUCCUGGUAGAAACUUGUGGUUUAUAGCAUGAAACCAUUUGAAUUAACUUCUUAGAGAUUGAAGAUGAUAAUAUCAUCCAAGAAAAUCAUAGGCAUUAGAGUGUUUGUUGCACAGCAGUUACUGGAGAGAAAGAUGUUCUUUAUUUUGUUUUCAACUUCACAUCUCAGCAGCUUUGCAGAGUGCCUGGUACCUAAAACCUCUCUGUCAUAUCAUAAGAAAAGAAUGUGUGCAUCUUGACCUUCCUUCCCACUGCGGUCCAUCCAGAGCUCCUGGAAAUGAACACCUUUGACAACGGAUCUGUGACACCUGACCCUAAAGACCAGUUGGGCUGAAUAUCUGCCCAACAGAAACAUUUGAGCACAAAAUACAGCUAUUGUCUUAAUGUGUUUCAUCAGUGGGGACUAGUUUGAACAUUCUGUCCUAUAAUUGUUUUCCGGGUUUAGCUUUUUGUCCACUGUGAAGGCAUGAAGCAAGCAUUUUGAGUUCUCAAUCUGGUAAAACACUGAUUGCUACAUUCACUAAAUUGAAUGUGAUGGUUAAUUUUGUGUGUCAACUUGACUAGGGUAGGGAAUACCCAGAUAUUUGCUCAAAUAUUUUUCUGGGUGUUUCUGUGAGGGUACUUUAGUGAGACUAGCAUUUAAAUUGAUAGCCUGAGUAAAGCAGAUUGCUCUCCUAACGUGGGUGAGCCUCACCAAUCGACUGAAGGCCUGAAUAGAACAAGAAGGCUGAGACCUCCUCCAAGUAAGAGAGAAUUCUUCCAGCCUGAUGGCCAUUGAACAGAGACAUUGGCUUUUUUCCUGCUUUUAGAUUGGAACUGAAACAUCAGGUCUUCCUGUGGCUUGAGCCUGCCAGCCUUCAACUAGAACUACACUGUUGGCUCUUUGGGGUCUCCAUCUUGCGGAUUCACCCUGUAGAUCUUGGGAUUUGCCAACCUAACAUAACCAUGUGAUCCAAUUUCUUAUAAUGGAUCUGUAUCUAUAUCCAUAUCCAUAUCCGUAUCUGUAUCCGUAUCUGUAUCCAUAUCUGUAUCUGUAUCUAUAUCUGUAUCUGUCUAUACACAUAUCCUAUUGCUUCUAUUUCUCUGAAGAACCUUGACUAAUAAAAUGGACAAUCGGAAUUUCUGGUGUGGUUUAGGGUAGACAAAAAAGAUCUCCUGAUGGGUAAAGUGGCAGUGAUGAUAACAAUACGUGG
rnacentral:lncRNA from 1 species